GUAGUUGGAUUUCUGUUAAUAAUUUAUAUAUAAUAUUUUUAAUAUUUAUAUAAUAUUAACAUAAUUCAUAUUACUAUAUUAUUAUUAGUAUAUGAAAUUUUACUUUGAGAAAAUUAGAGUGCUUAAAGCAGGCAUAUGCCUUGAAUACUCCAGCAUGGAAUAAUAUAAAAGAUUUUUAUCUUUUUUAUUGGUUCUAAGAUAAAAAUAAUGAUUAAUAGGGACAGUUGGGGGCAUU
rnacentral:rRNA from 1 species